UUUCUUUAACUUUUCACCUCUAUCCCUCUCAUUUUACAAAUUUUGUUUCUCUUUCCAUUAACAUAUUUCUAUCUCUUUCGUCUCUUUCUCUCCGAACCCUAAAACCACCGCCGUCGAAAACAAUAGAAUUGCUGCCGCCGAAAACAAUGAAACCAAAGAAGGUAAAUACCGAUUUACUGUUGUUUUUUCGUUUUCAUCUUCAACUGCAAUUUCAUGUGAAACAUAUUCCCUCUCGUCCUUUUUUUAUUUUUGGUUUUGAUGGCUGCCUAUUUGUGUUCAUGUCUAUGAUUUCUCGUGUCUGUGUUUGUUUGUGGAGUUUCAUAUUUGCCAGAUCUAUCAGUUCAACGGCGACCUGGUUUAGAGCGCCGACGGAUGAAACAAACCCUUCGGUAAUCAAGUUUUAGUGUGAAUGUAAUCGAGUCCACGGGUUGCGCUGCUAAAGGAUUUGUGGAUUUAGAACAUUGAUAAUUACUUUGGUUUGUUUGAGUUUUUCAUGUCAUCAUUUUGUUGUCUGUGUUUGUCAGAUUUUAGAACAUAUGUUUGUUUGUGUUUGUCAUGUUGCUGAUAUGUUUCUUUUUGUUGUUGAAUGUAGCUUGACAUUCAGCUUGAUCUCUUAAUGGAUGGUUUUGAACAAGAUGAUGAAAUGUUUUUUCUUCUUAGCACAAAGAGCAUGAUCAAAACUGGUAGAAGCAAUAACAUGAUGGUAUGGCAACUUUCAUGUCAUUUAUGAAUUCUUCCCAUGGCAAUGUUGUAAGAAAUCACCAGAAAUUUUAUUGGUAUUUUGUUAGGUGGUUUGACUUCAAUGUGCGGUUUUUUGAAGAUAUUUUUUCCAGAUGUGUGUACAAAGAAGCAGACUCAUUUGUUUUAUGCUGAAUGAGAUUUGUUUAUGGAUAUUGUUGUAUGAUUUCACUAUUUUUGUUGAUUUGAUGUUCUGAAAAUAUUGAUGUUGAUUUUGAUUGGGCUGCCAUUGCAGCGUGUUUGGAGCAACCGCAAGAUGGUAAACACCGUCAGAAAAUUAUUCUUCAUAGAAAGAUAGAGGAAGCAACAAUGGCUAUCAAGAGGUUAAAGGAAUUGUUGGAAGCUCGCAAAUCUUCUCUGUGUGACCACUCUGGUAGAACUUGAAUUGUUAGUGUUUCCUUUUACUACAUAUUUGAGUAUACUAACUAUUUUCUAUCCCUUUCAGUUUACUCAAAUGGAUAUCUACAACCUAGACAGGUAAUGAACUAUACUACUUGUGCUUAAUACAAUUUGACAAAUUAAAAGGGGACAGAAAUGUUCUAAAAAACAAUUUAGCUUGGUACAUUUAGCACUAUAAAAAAUUUUUAAUCCAACUUUAUAUCCAAAUCAAUGAAAAAUCCCUCCCGAGUUGGCUUGACUAGGAGCUGGAGGUAAUGGUACAUGUGCAUGAAGUCUGUGCUGAAUUUGAUGAACAAAACAAAGUUCAUGCUACACUGGAAAGUGAAUUGGCUUUCCUGAAACAAGUGGACCAGCUUUCAGAUAGGCAGAGUAUCCCCACAAGAAACAAUCGAUAUUCAAGAUGACCUAAUCGGUAUGUAUACUUGAGAAAUGUAUGCAUUCAAAAAUCUAUUUCAUGACAUAAUGAAGAUUUGUAGAGUCUGUUUUAUAGUUUUAUGUUUUACAUUUCCCAGGUAUACAUACUACAAGGUCAUAAUGUGUACUGGUUUUGAAACCGUGUCUCUCUUAAUUACUACUGCUUUUGCUUUAUAGAAAAUUUGUUGCACAUGUGUGUAUUCACCUUUAUUGUUUCAUCUCAGUUAAACUAAUUUCAAAUUGAAGACAAAGUAUAUGACAAAAGCUUCAUAUGAGAUAAGUGACAAGUAGUAUAGCUUACCAUGCUUAUGUAUACCAUAAAUAUAAAUUAUUUUACUUCUUUAUUUUUGUUUUAUUUUAUAAGGGUGUUGUAUUAACCAUAUGAUAUACAAUAAAGAAGUUAAUAAUCUCCAUACUUAGUUCAAAAUGCAUUGUUGUGGCAUUGUAUCAUAGUUGUGUAAUCAAAUGUAUAACUCCAGAGUUGUCUUGGAACUUCUUGGUUGAAACACAAGAUUGAUAGGAAACAUUCACUUGAUCUUGUAAAACAACACUUGAAUUUCAAUUGCAAUGAGGAAGAGGCCACCUAUGUGUACGGAAAACUGCAGAAGCAUGAUAAAUAUUUCUCAAGUUUAAUGAGAUUUGUUUAUGGAUAUUGUUUUAUGAUUUCAUUGUUUUUGAGUUUUUGUUGAUGUCCAGAAAAUAUUGAUGUUGGUUUUGAAUGGUUUACUAUUACAGCUUGUGUGGAACAACCGUAACAUCGUAAACACCUUCGCGGGUUAAUGAAGGAGCACAUUAGUUUUGUCAUGUGCAAAAGAAUUUUGCUAAUUCCGCUCUUUUACCGCAGUCCAUUGGUUUUGUUGGUCUUGGAGUUAGCCUCAUUAGUUUAGCAACUGCAAGAAACCCUUCGGUAAGAGGUCCCAAGAUGCUUAGCUUUGUGGACACAAAGGAAAAGGUAAGAGGUCCAGAGGAUCCACCUGGAUAUUGGGUUGUCACUGGUGCAAAGCUAUGUGUAGAAGGUGGCAGAAUCUCAAUCAAGGCAAAAUAUUCAUUGUUGACUGUAUUGUCAGAAGAAUCUAUAAUGCAGUUAGAGUAAGAAUUGAUUUGUUAAUGUUGUUUUUAGUUAGUUGUACAUAUAUCAUGCCAUUUAUUUAUCUAAAAGAAAAGAAAGUGUAUUUUGUGAUUGUCAUAUUGGCUCAA